UACAGAGGUGGCAAGCGUUGUUCGGAAUUACUGGGCGUAAAGGGCGCGUAGGCGGUUCGUUAAGUCCUGUGUGAAAUCCCCCGGCUCAACUGGGGAACUGCACAGGAAACUAGCGGGCUUGAGUUCGGGAGAGGGAAGCGGAAUUCCGGGUGUAGCGGUGAAAUGCGUAGAUAUUCGCAAGAACACCAGUGGCGAAGGCGGCUCACUGGCCCGGUACUGACGCUGAGGUGCGAAAGCGUGGGGAGCAAACAGG
rnacentral:rRNA from 1 species